AAUAGAUACCCGGGUAGUCCACGCCGUAAACGAUGGAUACUAGCUGUUCGUCCGCCUCGGCGGAUGAGUGGCUAAGCGAAAGUGAUAAGUAUCCCACCUGGGGAGUACGAACGCAAGUUUGAAACUCAAAGGAAUUGACGGGGGCCCGCACAAGCGGUGGAGCAUGUGGUUUAAUUCGAUGAUACGCGAGGAACCUUACCAAGGCUUAAAUGUAGAUUGACAGGACAGGAAACAGUUUUUUCUUCGGACAAUUUACAAGGUGCUGCAUGGUUGUCGUCAGCUCGUGCCGUGAGGUGUCAGGUUAAGUCCUAUAACGAGCGCAACCCCUGUUGUUAGUUGCCAGCGAGUCAAGUCGGGAACUCUAACAAGACUGCCAGUGUAAACUGUGAGGAAGGUGGGGAUGACGUCAAAUCAUCACGGCCCUUACGCCUUGGGCUACACACGUGCUACAAUGGCCGGUACAGAGAGCAGCCACUGCGCGAGCAGGAGCGAAUCUAUAAAACCGGUCACAGUUCGGAUCGGAGU
rnacentral:rRNA from 1 species